UACGUAGGCAGCAAGCGUUGUUCGGAAUUACUGGGCGUAAAGAGUGUGUAGGCGGUGCUCUAAGUUCGGUGUGAAAUCUCCCGGCUCAACUGGGAGGGUGCGCCGGAAACUGGGGUGCUGGAGCGCGGGAGAGGAAAGCGGAAUUCCUGGUGUAGCGGUGAAAUGCGUAGAUAUCAGGAGGAACACCAGUGGCGAAGGCGGUUGCCUGGAGCUUUGCUGACGCUGAGGCGCGAAAGCGUGGGGAGCGAUCCGG
rnacentral:rRNA from 1 species